UACGUAGGGUGCGAGCGUUGUCCGGAAUUAUUGGGCGUAAAGGGCUCGUAGGCGGUUUGUCGCGUCGGGAGUGAAAUCCACUGGCUUAACUGGUGGCUUGCUUUCGAUACGGGCAGACUGGAGGUAUGCAGGGGAGACGAAUUCCUGGUGUAGCGGUGAAAUGCGCAGAUAUCAGGAGGAACACCGGUGGCGAAGGCGGUCUCUGGGCAACAACUGACGUGAGGAGCGAAAGCGUGGGGAGCGAACAGG
rnacentral:rRNA from 1 species